GAUGAACGCUGGCGGCGUGCCUAAUACAUGCAAGUCGAGCGAACGGACGAGAAGCUUGCUUCUCUGAUGUUAGCGGCGGACAGGUGAGUAACACGUGGAUAACCUACCUAUAAGACUGGGAUAACUUCGGGAAACCGUAGCUAAUACCGGAUAAUAUUUUGAACCGCAUGGUUCAAAAGUGAAAGACGGUCUUGCUGUCACUUAUAGAUGGAUCCGCGCUGCAUUAGCUAGUUGGUAAGGUAACGGCUUACCAAGGCAACGAUGCAUAGCCGACCUGAGAGGGUGAUCGGCCACACUGGAACUGAGACACGGUCCAGACUCCUACGGGAGGCAGCAGUAGGGAAUCUUCCGCAAUGGGCGAAAGCCUGACGGAGCAACGCCGCGUGAGUGAUGAAGGUCUUCGGAUCGUAAAACUCUGUUAUUAGGGAAGAACAUAUGUGUAAGUAACUGUGCACAUCUUGACGGUACCUAAUCAGAAAGCCACGGCUAACUACGUG
rnacentral:rRNA from 1 species